rnacentral:misc_RNA from 1 species
AUGUUAUGAACCCAACUGCUAUGGGUAAAUUUGGUCACUGAUGGAUUGCCUGCCACAGCUAUUGGGUUCAAUAAACAAGACUCGGAUGUUAUGAAGUCCAAACCUCGGAAGGUCAAUGAAGCAGUGGUUAGUGGGUGGCUGUUUUUCCGUUAUCUAGUUAUUGGAGCAUAUGUUGGACUUGCCACUGUUGCAGGUUUUAUAUGGUGGUUUGUUUAUUAUAAUAAUGGACCGAAACUCCCAUAUACUGAAUUGAUGCAUUUUGACAGUUGUUCAACAAGGGAAACAAAUUAUGCUUGCAGUAUAUUCAGUGAUCGCCACCCAUCUACUGUUUCAAUGACGGUGCUUGUUGUUGUUGAGAUGUUCAAUGCAUUGAAUAAUCUCAGUGAAAAUCAAUCUUUACUUGUCAUCCCUCCAUGGAGUAAUCUAUGGCUUGUUGCUUCGAUUAUCUUCACCAUGAUCCUUCACAUUCUCAUUCUGUAUGUGCAACCAUUGUCCGCUCUAUUCUCUGUGACACCAUUAAGCUUGGCAGAGUGGACAGUUGUGCUAUA